UACGGGGGGAGCAAGCGUUGUUCGGAUUUACUGGGCGUAAAGCGCGUGUAGGCGGCCUUGCAAGUUGGAUGUGAAAGCCCACGGCUCAACCGUGGAAGCGCAUCCAAAACUGCAUCGCUCGAGUCUCGGAGAGGAAGGUGGAAUGCUUGGUGUAGAGGUGAAAUUCGUAGAUAUCAAGCAGAACACCUGCGGCGAAGGCGGCCUUCUGGACGAUGACUGACGCUGAGACGCGAAAGCGUGGGGAGCAAAUAGG
rnacentral:rRNA from 1 species